rnacentral:lncRNA from 1 species
CAGACUUUUUCUUUUGGUGGGGUUGGGGGAGGGCCUCAAAGGGAAAAGAUUAAGAAUAUGGCUCCAGAUAACAAGCAGUUCUCAGCUUUCUCAACCACCCAUUUCUCUAUAAUGGGGACUGAUGAGACCAGAUUACCCUUCCAUUCAUAUUUCCCUUUGUAAUCCACUUGGAUACAACCAACAUUAAAGCUUCAAGACUGCAAUCUUAUGUAAACUCUUUCUCUUUCUUUGUCUAUCUCAGUACACACCAGUUACGAUAACAUUGCUUCAUAGAAUAGAAAAACAAAAUAGGCAGACAGGAUGGAGCCAGGCAAUUGUAAAAGUUAUGGUUUUCGGUGCUUAGUUUUAGAUUAUUCUCAUCAUCGUAUUUAUAUACUUCUUUUGGUUAAGUGAUCUAUGUUAAGCAGUCCUAUAGUUUCUAAGAAAAAGGAAAAGCAACAAACAACUUACACGAAGAAGAGCCCAUCUCCCCAUCUCCUUAUCUUUGUAUCCCUGCAAGAGAAUCUGGCUUUUAAUUCUCAUGCUAUUCAUACGAGGAUGAUGAUGGAUGAUUCAUGGUAUUGAUGUUGCAUUUUUCUUCUUCCCUUCUUUUCAAUAGAUUGUAUUUAUUUUCAUACAUAUAAUGAUAUGAAAGACCCUUUUCUAUAUCUUGCUCUCUAGUUUUUUUUAAAGCUAUUUUCUGUUUACAUUCCCCUUCUUUUUUAUGUAGCUUUUCAUAUGUUGAUGACAAGAUGUAAGAUAUUCCUGUCUAUAGUUCUGCCAACUGCAUUCUUCAAUAUAUUCAGGGCUAGGAUUUUUCGAAGUUCCUCACAAAAUUAAUUCGGUAGCUCUUUAGUAUCAAAGCCUGCGGCUUCUCAGUUUAUUCCACUUCCACUUCCACUGAGUCUUUUUUUUUUCUUUUUUUCCUUCU